GAUGGCGAGCGGGGAUGGAGGGCAGCAUCAUCUCAUCAAUGAAAGAUGCUGCCCAGCUGCAGCUCUCACCUCUUACAGGUUUGCCCCUUGGCCGUGGCAGCUGGAGAGCUGAGCUUUUAAUCAAAGCAGCGAUUGUGCUUUCAGGACCAUCUUUUAUUCAUGGCCGAGCGGCGCACACGCCGCUGCUUGCCGCCUUCUUGGGAUGCUGGCAUUAAUAUUUCAUCCUGGAGCCAGCUCGUGCUGAAGAGCUCAUGUCCCAGGAAACCCUUUUUUGGGGCCAGCUGCAAUGUUUACUCUCAAGGGUUCCUUGGGAAGAUAACAGUGGAAAAGCCACGCUCUGACAUGGUGGGUCUGGAAUGAAAAGUGAAGGUGUUCCUCUGCAAGCAUCAAAGCAGUUUCAACUUAACCAAAAAUGCUUCUCCUGGAUCACUGGGUCUUUAAAUCGAAAUACCUUCUCAAUAGAUGUAAUAAUGCUGGAGAAAAAGUGAUUGGAAAACAACUCCAUGUCCUCAGUGAUCCUUAUGGGUCCCUUCCAACAUGGGAUGUUCUGUGAUCUACAUGAGUUCCGUAGGAUGGAAGGGGAUGCUGCAUGUGGGAACGGAAGGAGGAACAGUUAUUUGCACAGCUCUUUGAGAUCCUUGAAGGAAAACCCUGGAGAGAUAUAAGGUAUUAUUACAAGGGCUGUAAGUUCUUUUCAGGCAGUUAAAGGGAUAAUAAAUUCAUUGCCC
rnacentral:lncRNA from 7 species